GCGGGUUUAGCUCAGCUGGCUAGAGCGUCUGCUUGCCAUGCAGAAGGUCGAGAGUUCGAAUCUCUUAACCCGCUCCA
rnacentral:tRNA from 1 species